AUACAGGGCCGGUCCUAGCCUAAA
rnacentral:siRNA from 1 species